GUCUGACUGGCUCAGUGGGUAGAGCAUGUGACUCUUGAUCUCAGGGUUGUAAGUUGAAGCCCCACGUUGGGUG
rnacentral:tRNA from 1 species